rnacentral:lncRNA from 1 species
GAUUAUAAAGGGCUCUACAUCCGCCUUCACCAUGGGCAUCGAUCUUUGUAAGGCACAGGUGGCUCAGUUGCUCUGAAGUCGAUGUAGAUCGUUUGAAUCCCAAGGAGAGCAAAGAUGAGGUUGAGGAAGAUGCUGCAAAUAUCAAUGCCAUUCCCUUAGUGGCACCCGGGCAAACAAGAUAGAGGAUGGUAAGGUAGAUGCUGCUUCUCCCUCGGCAACACCUAUUGAAGAUGAAUCCGGAAGAUGAGACUAAGGUCGGUAGAGCAAACAUUGGCUUAACUUCAGAUGCUAUGCCGGCCAUGGGGCCCGACACCACAACUAAUGUUCCUAUAGAUCAUCAGCUAUGAACCCUAACAUCGAUCUGUUGCAGUGGC